UGCCAUGGGCUCGAGCCCACACUCGGCACCUUCAAUAGACUCUGUUGCCAUUUCAACAGGACAUUGCCAGCUCCAACCAUCGCAAAGUUCGUUUGAGCCCCGCACUGCGCCUUUCCUUCCGCUGGUGGACCAAGGUUCAACACCUCUCCAAGGGCACGUCGUUCAGAGAACCCCGCAGAACCAUUGUAACCACAGAUGCCAGCCUCAUCGGUUGGGGAGCCCACUGCAACUCCCAGUACGUUCAGGGGGCUUGGUCCACCGCAUAGCAAACUCAAAGCAUCAACUGGCUGGAGCUAAAGGCUGUCCACUUAGCUCUACGUCAUUUUCAGUCUCUGUUCCCUUUGGACCAUGUGCUCAUUCGAACAGACAACACGUGUGUAAAAUCACAUUUGAACAGACAGGGGGGCACCAGGUCUCGUCCUCUGCAGGACUUAGCCUCCCUCAUCUUUGUCUGGGCAGAACAACAUCUACAAUCCCUGAAAGCAGAACAUCUCAGAGGGAUUUGGAAUGUGACAGCAGACUGGCUCAGCAGACAACAGGUCUUUCCGGGAGAAUGGAAACUUCAUCCAGCCAUUUUCCAUCGUCUCCAGUGUUGGUUCGGCGUCCUCUCAGUCGACCUGUUUGCUUCCAGUCGCAAUUGCCAGCUUCCCAGGUACUUUGCCCGAUACCUGGACUCAACAGCAGAAGCAGUGGAUGCUCUGACAACACCGUGGCCAGACGGUCUAUUGUACGCCUUUCCUCCCAUACCAUUGUUAGCCAAAACCUUGAGGAAGGUGCGAACCGAGAGGGCACAGCUGGUUCUGAUAGCACCAUUUUGGCCACGCCGACCGUGGUUCUCAGAUCUUCUGGCAAUGUCAAUGAUGGAUCCUUGGACACUUCCAGUCAGGCCAGACCUCCUAUCCCAGGGUCCAGUACUGCACCAGGACCCUACUUGGCUCAAUCUAACAGCGUGGCGUUUGAACGGGGACAUUUGAGGUCAGCUGGACUGUCUGACGCUGUGAUUGAUAUUAUUUUAGCCUCGAGAAGACCAUCUACCACUCGUAUUUAUCAACAUACCUGGGUGGCUUUCUCCAAGUGGUGUCAGUCCCACCACCAUGAUCCAUCCCAGGCCACUGUGCAUCAGGUGCUGCAAUUUCUCCAUAGCGGCUUUAUGAUGGGACUUCGACCCAACACUCUACGUCGACAUGCGUCCACUCUGUCGUCCAUUCUCUCAGUGUCCUCUCCUGGAGCUCCUAUGUCCUCACAUCCGUUCAUCAAACGUUUUUUGAGGGGAGUCGCCCUACGCUCUCCAGCUCUUGUCCAUCGGUUCCCCUCAUGGAGUUUGCCGAAAGUUCUGCAGGCUUUGCAACGCCCUCCGUUUGAACCCAUCAGGACUGUGCCCCUACGUAUGCUGUCCUUCAAGGUCUUGUUUCUGAUCGCAAUCACAUCUGCCAGACGCGUUUCGGAGUUGGGCGCAUUGUCUUCUGCUCGACACCUCUGCGUCUUCCAUAAGGACUCUGUUGUGCUGAAGACUGAUCCUUCCUUCCGUCCCAAGGUCGAUUCAGUUUUUCAUUGCAACCAGGACAUUGUUUUGCCUUCCUUUUGCCCGAAUCCUACCCAUCCUCUCGAGAAGGCUUGGCAUUCGUUAGAUGUCCGGAGGGCUCUCAAGACCUACCUGUCUAGGACCCAAGAGAUUCGACGAAUGGAGUCUCUGUUUGUAUCCUUUCAUCCAAGGUCUAUGGGGCAUAAAGUAUCCAAUUCUACCUUAUCCCAUUGGUUAAGGGCAUGCAUUACUUUAGCAUAUGAGUCCCUGAAGCUGUCAGUUCCAGCUAGUAUAACGGCUCAUUCUACCAGGUCAGCUGCCACUUCGGCUGCUUUUGCCACUAAUGCUCCUGUUGCCAAUAUUUGUAGGGCUGGUCUACCCCACACUCGUUUAUAAGGCAUUAUGAAAUUGAUCGUCAUGCCUCUGCUGAUGCUUCUUUCGGCAGACGAGUGUUGCAACAGGUUCUUAAUGAGGAUUAACAUGUGGGUGGUCCCUCCCUGUAUGGGCUGCUUUGGUACAUCCCGCAGUGAUGGCCCACCUCCUAUGGAAAAUGUACCAUUGGUCUCACCUGAAAGGUGAUUUUCAUAGGAGUGGGCCAUCACGACCCUCCCAGUUGGAGGAUGACUAGAUAUUUCUAAUGGGUUACAUGUUAUUGUUACGCUAUUAUAUUUAAAUGUAAGAGUGAAGUCAAGAUUUUUAGUUCUGUUAUGUUGUUAUGUUAGAGUCAUGUUGUUAUGCAUGUGACUAUUAUGUUAUUUUCCUGGCGGGCCUGUUGGCCUUGUUCUUGUAUUUUUAGAUAUCUCUUUUUAGACUCUCUAUGAAUGAACUGGAGAGUGGGAGGGGCCUGACGCCCCUAGUCUUGACUUCAAAAACAUUCUUGCCUUCGCACGAUAGGUGGAACUAUUACCCGCAGUGAUGGCCCACUCCUAUGAAAAUCACCUUUCAGGUGAGACCAAUGGUACAUUCUCAAACUGCCCCAUGCCUCCUCUCUUUUUCAGUGUGCCAUGAUUCAACACUUCCUGGGUUAAUUAACCAUAGUUUCUGAUUACAUAUGAACUAACUGUGGUUACCAGGACUGGAACAAACCAGGAUGUUAAACCAAAGUUUGGUGCAGGCUGGCAAACCCGGAAAGGGCUUAGUGGAGGGGGACCUCUGCUCCAUUCAAACCCCUUCCAGCAUGGUGGAUUAGGAGUUUGGAUGGCUCUGUUGCUUACAAAAUUAUGAUUUCAUGCUUAUAGUCUUCAGUCAGUAAGGUGUUUGUUGAAACAUGAAAUCCUUGCUGAAGGAAAUAUGCCAUUAAGAUUCAGAAAUUGCUUUGAAGCAUAGCUGAGUAUUAUGCCAUAGUGUGUUUAGUUGAUGCAUUGGUUUGUGAUGAAAUAUUUAUUGGAUUGUUUUUGCCCUUGAGCUACAAUUGAAAAGUUGUAUAUUAUAGAGAGACAGCAUGCGCAUAGAUGUGGAUGAAAACUACCAGCAUUCAAAAGACAACUUUGACUUUAUAGUGAAGAUUUUGGGGACAACCCACAAGAGAGGUUGUGGCAACCUCAACUGAAAAGAAUGGGAGUUUAAGUGCUGUGGUGGAGAAGAUUUUAAAGACUGGGCAGAAAACCAGUACCAUGACUGUAAUGCCCCAGGACC